UAGGAGCACGUGCGAUGCGAAUGGUGUCCCUUUUUAGGCGCGUGCAUAGAAACUAGAUGGUUGGAUUGUCUAAUCGAUAAAAGAGUGGUUUUCAUGGAAGAUGAAAUCGUUUUCCGGUUUUCGCAAUUUCUCUUUCAUCGAUAAAAUUAAAAAGACUUCCCACGAUUUAGAAAGUUCAGCUGAUCCACAGAUAAAACUGGAGCAUGGUUUUUGGUACUGUGAUACGUUAAUGUGGCCAGUGCCGACCUGGGUGCACAAGCUGACUUGCAUUAAUCUUAAGGUAUUUAGUACAAACACAGAUCAGAUCAGGCCACGCUUCUCCGCCUUUUAAUCACGAAAAUCAAGCCGAUGCUGUUGUUAAUGUUGUUGGGUAUAAUUCCUUUCUUUUUCUUCUUGUCGGUAAUUUAAGUUUUAAUUUUGUGUCAAGGAAUAAUAUGAUUUUCUUUAAAGAAUAAAAUACUAGCCUCAAUAAUUAUUUUUUUUAAA